UGAACGCUAGCGGCAGGCUUAACACAUGCAAGUCGAGGGGUAUUUAUCUUCGGAUAGAGAGACCGGCGCACGGGUGCGUAACGCGUAUGCAAUCUACCUUUUACAGAGGGAUAGCCCAGAGAAAUUUGGAUUAAUACCUCAUAGCAUUGAGGCAUGGCAUCAUGCUUCUAUUAAAGUCACAACGGUAAAAGAUGAGCAUGCGUCCCAUUAGCUAGUUGGUAAGGUAACGGCUUACCAAGGCUACGAUGGGUAGGGGUCCUGAGAGGGAGAUCCCCCACACUGGUACUGAGACACGGACCAGACUCCUACGGGAGGCAGCAGUGAGGAAUAUUGGACAAUGGGCGCAAGCCUGAUCCAGCCAUGCCGCGUGCAGGAUGACGGUCCUAUGGAUUGUAAACUGCUUUUAUACGAGAAGAAACACUACUUCGUGAAGUAGCUUGACGGUAUCGUAAGAAUAAGGAUCGGCUAACUCCGUGCCAGCAGCCGCGGUAAUACGGAGGAUCCAAGCGUUAUCCGGAAUCAUUGGGUUUAAAGGGUCCGUAGGCGGU
rnacentral:rRNA from 1 species